UGCUCUAGUUACGCCCACUGGUGUUUCUGUCGUUAGUUCCUUCUCAAGAAAACGAAAGUAUUUUCUGUACUGUCGCCAUUACGCGCGUUUUAAAUAUUUCACGGGAGCAGAGAGCAGCAUCUCCAGUGUCCAGCUGUGUGUGUGUGAAGAGGAACAACUCCAUGAUGGAGCCUCAUAACUCCAGCAGUGGAGGAGGAACCUCUGACCCAAAGGUAGAGAGAGCAGAGCCUCCAGCUCCCAGCUGUGCGUCUGUGAAGAGUGAAUCACCUCCAGCACCCAGCUGUGUGUCUGUGAAGAGUGAUGAGUCCAUGGAACCUCCUGCUGUAUUCAGUAGUGGACCUGUGACCUCAGUCCUACAGAUGGGGAGUGAGAGAGCAGUAAAUCCAGCACCCAGCUGUGUGUCUAUGAAGAGUGACUGGUCCAUGGAGCCUCCUCCUCUAUUCAGCAGUGAACCUGUGACCUCAGUCCUACGGUGAGUGACACAUUACACACUCAGAUU
ensembl:lncRNA